AACGCGAAGAACCUUACCUGGUCUUGACAUCCACAGAACUUUCCAGAGAUGGAUUGGUGCCUUCGGGAACUGUGAGACAGGUGCUGCAUGGCUGUCGUCAGCUCGUGUUGUGAAAUGUUGGGUUAAGUCCCGCAACGAGCGCAACCCUUAUCCUUUGUUGCCAGCGGUCCGGCCGGGAACUCAAAGGAGACUGCCAGUGAUAAACUGGAGGAAGGUGGGGAUGACGUCAAGUCAUCAUGGCCCUUACGACCAGGGCUACACACGUGCUACAAUGGCAUAUACAAAGAGAAGCGACCUCGCGAGAGCAAGCGGACCUCAUAAAGUAUGUCGUAGUCCGGAUUGGAGUCUGCAACUCGACUCCAUGAAGUCGGGAUCGCUAGUAAUCGUAGAUCAGAAUGCUACGGUGAAUACGUUCCCGGGUCUUGUACACACCG
rnacentral:rRNA from 1 species